UUUACUGAGAGUUUGAUCCUGGCUCAGGACGAACGCUGGCGGCGUGCCUAAUACAUGCAAGUCGUGCGGACCUUUUAAAAGCUU
rnacentral:rRNA from 1 species